AGAGAGAGAGAGAGAGAGAGAGGUAGGCCACAGACACAUAGAACAGCACAGACACAAACAACAAUGGGGCUUAGUCAUCUUUCCUCGGCAGUCACCUGGACAGACAUCAAUUCACCUGCUUUCCAAGACAAGGACACACACAAGCGUGAGUGAGUCACAGUCACACGAGAGAGGGCAGCAGAUGCUUUUAUCCACAGCAACUUACAAAAAUAAGGGAACAACAUUCAAGAAACAAUGCAGAGGAGACCUUGCUUACAGGAAAAGCAGCUCGGGCCGGUGAAGCACGUCCACCAGCACGGAAAGCUCGGCCUGCACCAGCGGCCGCAGCCGGUCCUCCAGGGCGGACA